UUCUGGAUUUCAGAGGAGGGUUAGGACUCUGAUAGGCCACACCAGGGUCCUCACGUGCCCACUCCUGGGGGUGGGGAGAGGUGAGGUGGGAGCAGCUCUACACAGCAUACUCGAUUGAGAAUGGGAUGGGGGCAACCCUCAGAAAUGAGGAGGGAGACCGAUGAAGAGAUCAUGUUGGGUUGCAGAAGCGCAGGUGGCCAUGCAGCUGGGGUGAUGUGGGAAAUGUAACGUCUCCAGAAUUUUUAUUCAGCAGAGGUUUGGUGGUUUUGUGGGGUGGGGGUUUGGAGGCAUUGUCUUGGCACUGCGUCUGCAUAAAAUGCGCUCUGUUAUGUCGAAUUUGUAUGUUCAUUUGGGUUAGUGGGUCAAGUAGUGAGGUUUGGCUGCGUUAAAAAAACAAAAACAAAAACAAACCAAAAAAACCCAAACAGUGACUUCUACAAGAUUUUUCCCUUACCUAUCACAAGUCUGGAAAUACUUAGUCUUCUCUGGGGCUAGUGUGAUGGUUUUAUGAUCAUCAGGAAUUCAGGCUGCUUUUUCUUUUUGCUCUACCAUCUUCAGUACAUGGCUUUUUAUCGUCUUGAUUCCCUCAUGGUACCUAGAUGGUGGCUGAUGUUUGAGCCAUUACAGCUGUAUGUUAGGCAGCUGGAAGUGGGAAGUGGUGAGGGGCCGAGCGUGCAUUUCAUAGCUGAAUUCUCUAAGGAUUUAAAACUUGAGGGGUAAUCUGUAAGAAGCUUUUCAGGAUACCACCCCCUCCCCCACGACUUCUGCUUCUAGCUCUUCGGCUCCCCUAAUUGCAAGGAAAGCUGGGAAAUGUGAUUGCGUCAUUGGCACAUGAAGGAGGGAUAAUGGAUAUUGGGUGGAUAGCCAGCUGUCCUGGCCCCAGGAGGCUGAUGGAAGCUAUGUGGGAGGGGUGGGGGUGGUGCUGCCAAAGCUCCUCCCCGCCUUCCCUGUUCCCACCACCCCCAACCAUCCCUUAGUGCUGUCAGCAUCGAGAAAAGCUUCAUCAAAGGCACAGGGGUCAUCAUUGCAAGAGGAUCCGGUCCCUGGGUCUAGAAGUGUCCAUGUCUCUCUGGGGACUCCCAUACAGGAUAACAUUUUAUUUGCUCACCCUGAUUUUAUCCCCUGUAGGAUGCUUUCCCCUGCUAAAUCAUUGAAAGAGCAAUUGCCUGGAAAUACUAAGUAUUGAUUCAUGAUUUCUGUUCAUUUCUUCUUUAUUGUUCGGCGAGAAAUGAAGUCCCAGAAAUGGAACAGGAGCCCUCGGACAGCUUCAGCUCCCUCCUGGAGAUAUUGCCCAGGUGUCUGAAUGCCUGCACUGGGGUACCUCCUUUUCUGAUGGACUGGAUUCCCCUGCCAGCUGAUUCUUCUUUGCCGCCAGUUCACACUGUGUCAUUUUCAGCUUCCUAAGAUGGGAAAGACAUAUACACAGUCCAGGAGCCAAGGUCCACAAAUUCUGCCUUUUUACCUCCCAGCACUCUUGAAGGCCUAGAUACAAAUACCUUUCCCCCACCUCUCCCAUAAAUGCACAGACUGACAACACAGUCAGAGAAAUGAACUGAACACCCCAUUUAAGUUAAAGAAAAUUCAACCUCUGUCUGCUGCCAUGUCUCUGCUGUCAGACCUGUUUCCUCUCCUUCAUCAUAAAGUCAUCAAAUAAUAUUGCACUUUGUGCCUUCCCAGAGCUGAACUUUGGUUUGAGAUGGUGAAGGCUCAUUUCAGUUCAGUGUCAAAAACCUUGUCUGACCACCCAUACCCAUUAGGAUGAAGCAAGGGAUCAUCACUAGUCUCACACCUCCGUGGGGAGCCCUGAUUCUCAGUCCAGAAGUUGUACCCUGACAAAGACAAUCACCCUAAAAGACGACCUUCCAGGAUAUGGCUUCCCCAACAUUGCAGCUCACUCCCAGACAUUGCUAGAGUCAGGAGUACAACCCCUGCGUCCACCUUCACAUAUCCUGGUGGAGGAAAAGGCCAAUCUUAGAGCAGCAACAUCACCUGAGGUAGAACCUGAUAUGAACUGUCACACAGUCUGGGUUUAUCUCCAGGAAACAGAUUUCAGAUGGAAAACUAUCAACUUCAUGGAGCCAAUGUACUUGAAGAAGACUCAGUUCGUUGACAGUGAAGGCAGCAAAGGGAAAUGCUUAGAAAGGCUGGUUUGCUGUGUUGCCCUCAGACUAUUUUGUUCAUGGUGUUACUUUAAAGGGUUUCAACUUGGUACUGGAUGUAUUCAAGAGUCACAUGCAAAAUUGAAAGACUCCUAGAAACGGACACAAAACCUCUAGACAGAGAAAGGCACAUGCAUUUCCUUCCGGCAUCUCAGGCAGUCCUUCAACAAAUGCUUUCUGGAGUGGCUGGAAUGUAGUGGUUCUGUUGUAAGGGAUUGAAAAUAGAAAGGUGGCCAGGGUGCUGUACGUGCUCUCCAAAAGAGCUUAGAAAUGAUAAAAACAAGAUGCCAGUGAGACAGAGCAGGCUCCACCCCAGGUGUGGGAAGGACUAACAGAAGCUGAGUCUCCAGGGAAGAGAAGGAAGUAUUUCCUUUUCAAUGUGAAUGAGGGACUCUAAAGGCCCUGAUCUCCUCCUGAGAACAAAAGGAAAUACUGUACAAAGGAGGAAACAUGUGAGCGAAUGCACCAAAUUUCUAAUGACCCCAUGAAGACACAUGUGACCAAGAUGGAGAAGAAGGAAGCCCAGGACAAAGCCAGCCUGGCAGUGGGAACCAAUCUCCCCAGGACUCAUCAAUGAACUUGGGGAUAGAAAACUGAACUGCAAAAUAGCUGAACAACUUUAUGGGCACAGACUUAGAAGGAAACGUGUUUAGUUCAGAGGCAGCCAGCAAAGAUGAGCCCUAGUGAAGCUGCGGGCUUUGGUCAAGACUCAGAGGAGUUACACUUCAAAAAUCAGGGGACAGGAAAUAACUCAGCUUCCUUAGGGAUUGGCCUGCUGUGAACAAUCUCACUAGCAGAACUGAUGCAGGGAUCCAGUACUACUGGCACCCCUACCCACUUUCCAGAAAUAAAUUUCUGUGGUUUCUGCAGCAAGAUCAUUGAUUUUUUCCCUACACAUUCUUGACCCAUGUGUGGUCCUGAACAAAAAUGACCUAAUUCCUGGAUGACAAGACAACGUGAUGGGACUGAAUCCCAAGCAGAUGCAGAUAUCAAUGUUAUUAAUGCUGACACCUUCCCUCUUCCACCCCAAAUACAUGACACAAUAUGUGACAAGCACUUAGGACAGAAAGGAAAAUGCGGGUGACAGAAAGCCAGAAAGCUCUUCUGAAAUACUACAUGGAGUUGGCUGUCUGCUGAAUUCAUACAGAGUUAUGGCACCUCAGGUGCCAUGAUUUUUUCCAGACUGCUACAAACAAAAUAAAAGCCACCGAAUGAGAAAAAGAAUAAAACACGGCUAGAGCUAAAGCACAAGCAACAACAGAAAUAACAGUUGAUGUUUAAAAAAAGAGCAAAAAGAGCUCUGCAGACCUCAGUUCUCCUGAUAAAUUCUAGCUCAUCAAAUCUAGGCAUGACCCGGUUUUGACACCAUUAACAUAUUUCCCCAUUCUAAAGUUUGAAAGGACGAUGAGAGGCCGAGGCCAGCCCUAAACUCUUGCCAGGAUAUUAGAAUAUCAUCAUGCUAUCAAAAAGCCACUUAGGAACCUCUGAGCUUCCCUGUCCCUUGUCACCCAGCCCCACAGGCGGGUAAGUGAAAAGGAAUAUGAACACACCAAAUACUCAAUAUUUGUGUUUCUGUGUGAAGGCAAGUUUUCUCCAGUGGCAGGGAGAGGGGCAAAUACUCAUUUAGAAAUAAAUUCCAAAGUACUCUGUUCUUCCAGAAAAGAUCUGCCCUCAAGAGGAACGAAGAGCCUAACUGGGGAUUUCCCAAAGAGUAAGCAAUACAGGUGAGGGAAAAUACUCAACUCCAGGGCUCUCACCUUCCUGUCUCACCUGGGAGUCAAUUCAGACUAACCCCUAGCCAGAUAAAUAUAAAAACCUCACACUCAUGUCCUAUUUACCUCAGUUCCUUUACCAGCACAUAACAUUUGC